rnacentral:rRNA from 1 species
AAAGAAACUAACAAGGAUUCCCCUAGUAACUGCGAGUGAAGCGGGAAAAGCUCAAAUUUAAAAUCUGGCAGUCUUUGAUUGUCCGAGUUGUAAACUAGAGAAGUGUUAUCCGNGCUGGACCGUGUAAAAGUCUCCUGGAAUGGAGCAUCAUAGAGGGUGAGAAUCCCGUCUUUGACAUGGACUACCAGUGCUUUGUGAUGCGCUCUCAAAGAGUCGAGUUGUUUGGGAAUGCAGCUCAAAAUGGGUGGUAAAUUCCAUCUAAAGCUAAAUAUUGGCGAGAGACCGAUAGCGAACAAGUACCGUGAGGGAAAGAUGAAAAGAACUUUGGAAAGAGAGUUAAACAGUACGUGAAAUUGCUGAAAGGGAAACGCUUGAAGUCAGUCGCGUCGGCCAGGAAUCAACCUUGCUUUUGCUGGGCGUACUUUCUGGUUGACGGGUCAGCAUCAAUUUUGACUGCUGGAAAAAGUUCAAGGGAAUGUGGCAUCUUCGGAUGUGUUAUAGCCCUUGUUCGCAUACAGCAGUUGGGAUUGAGGUACUCAGCACGCCGCAAGGCCGGGUUUCGACCACGUUCGUGCUUAGGAUGCUGGCAUAAUGGCUUUAAUCGACCCGUCUUGAAACACGGACCAAGGAGUCUAACAUGCCUGCGAGUGUUUGGGUGGAAAACCCAAGCGCGCAAUGAAAGUAAAAGUUGAGAUCCCUGUCAUGGGGAGCAUCGACGCCCGGACCAGAGCUUUUGUGACGGAUCUGCGGUAGAGCAUGUAUGUUGGGACCCGAAAGAUGGUGAACUAUGCCUGAAUAGGGUGAAGCCAGAGGAAACUCUGGUGGAGGCUCGUAGCGAUUCUGACGUGCAAAUCGAUCGUCAAAUUUGGGUAUAGGGGCGAAAGACUAAUCGAACCAUCUAGUA